GGGCAACCUUGCCUAAAACAAGGCAUUCUUUGCUAAUAAUUUCCUUUUUCCAUUCUCUCUUUGCCUUUAACACCCUUUUCUUUCCUAUAGCUUAAUUAACUUCCUUUCUAUUUUCUAGAUGAGAUGCUAUCUGACUCAUGAAUCAUUGAAGCCACUUUGAUCUCUAAAUUUAUUCAGCUGAAUUUUUGUUACGUAACAGAUUUGCUGGCAGAGACCAGACCAAAGGAUACUUCUGACAGCACCGGGGAUACCAAGAAACAGGUGUGGGUGGCAUUUUGCGAACACUGAAUUUACAGUCUUUCUUGCCAUUUCCAAGGGCCAUGGUAACCUGUCUGUCCUCCUCGAAAUACUACUGAGGUAAAGGCGUGGUGAUGGAGAUCUGGGGUUGACGCAUGUAUUCACCUGGCAUCCAGAGCGAACUCCGUCUCCUCCCGCGCACACCAUGGUUUUCUUCACGGUGGAGCCCCAGUAGGAGGAGCUGGAGCAGGUGGCGUAGUCCACAGUGGGCAGAGUCAGAAACAGCUAUAGAGGCACCUGGGUGGCUCAGUUGCUUAAGCAUCUAUCUUCAGCUCAGUCAUGAUCCUGGGGUCCUGGCAUCAAGUCCUGCAUCAGGCUCCCUGCUCAGCGAGGAAUCUGCUUCUCCCUCUGCCCCUCCCCCACAUUUGUG